AACCAUACUUCCUGAUGAUCCUGUGGACAUGGGAAAGCAUAAUGGCAACAAUAAUGGAGUGCUGAAAGAUGAUGAGGAGGAGAGUAAGCAGGAGGGCAUUGGUGGGGAACUAUCUCACCUAAACAGGGAUAUAAAGAACACUGCGAGAACUACCGAGCUGAAUCUUCCAUCUCUUACUGUUCAGGAUAUUGUUAACCGUGUAAAAUCAAAUCCAGGAGAUCCUUGUAUUCUUGAGACUCAAGAGCCACUUCAGGAUUUGGUCAGAGGUGUUCUUAAAUUAUUAUCAUCUAAAUCACCUCCUUUAGGAGCAAAAGGUUGGAAAGCAGUUUUGAAAUAUGAAAAAUCUACAAAAUCCUGGUCCUGGAUUGGUCCACGGAGUCCUUCAGAUCAGGAAACUAUCGAGGAGNAUGGCAAUGACAACCAUACUUCCUGAUGAUCCCGUGGACAUGGGAAAGCAUAAUGGCAACAAUAAUGGAGUGCUGAAAGAUGAUGAUGAGGAGAGUAAGCAGGAGGGCAUUGGUGGGGAACUAUCUCACCUAAACAGGGAUAUAAUGAACACUGAGCGAACAACCGAGCUGAAUCUUCCAUCUCUUACUGUUCAGGAUAUUGUUAACCGUGUAAAAUCAAAUCCAGGAGAUCCUUGUAUUCUUGAGACUCAAGAGCCACUUCAGGAUUUGGUCAGAGGUGUUCUUAAAUUAUUAUCAUCUAAAUCACCUCCUUUAGGAGCAAAAGGUUGGAAAGCAGUUUUGAAAUAUGAAAAAUCUACAAAAUCCUGGUCCUGGAUUGGUCCACGGAGUCCUUCAGAUCAGGAAACUAUCGAGGAGGUGACAUCUCCUGAAGCUUGGGGUCUUCCACGCA
rnacentral:lncRNA from 1 species